CGGGGAGUAGCGCAGUUUGGCUAGCGCGCUUGCUUCGGGAGCAAGAGGUCGACGGUUCAAGUCCGUCCUCCCCGA
rnacentral:tRNA from 1 species